rnacentral:rRNA from 1 species
CAGUCGCCGCGGGAAUACGGAGGGUGCAAGCGUUAAUCGGAAUUACUGGGCGUAAAGCGCACGCAGGCGGUCUGACAAGUCAGAUGUGAAAUCCCCGGGCUUAACCUGGGAACUGCAUUUGAAACUGUCAGGCUGGAGUCUUGUAGAGGGGGGUGGAAUUCCAGGUGUAGCGGUGAAAUGCGUAGAGAUCUGGAGGAAUACCGGUGGCGAAGGCGGCCCCCUGGACAAAGACUGACGCUCAGGUGCGAAAGCGUGGGGAGCAAACAGGAUUAGAGACCCCGGUAGUCCCUGUCUCUUAUAC